rnacentral:rRNA from 1 species
UACGUAGGGCGCAAGCGUUAUCCGGAAUUAUUGGGCGUAAAGAGCUCGUAGGCGGUUUGUCGCGUCUGCCGUGAAAGUCCGGGGCUCAACUCCGGAUCUGCGGUGGGUACGGGCAGACUAGAGUGGUGUAGGGGAGACUGGAAUUCCUGGUGUAGCGGUGAAAUGCGCAGAUAUCAGGAGGAACACCGGUGGCGAAGGCGGUUCUCUGGGCAGUAACUGACGCUGAGGAGCGAAAGCGUGGGGAGCGAACAGG